rnacentral:sRNA from 1 species
AUGUACCACGCGUACACUGCGGUUCCUCCACGUCGUCCACACUCACCUGGCGACUGCUCGCCACGUUUUGUUAGCC